rnacentral:tRNA from 1 species
GGGGCCGUAGCUCAGCCGGGAGAGCGCUGCCUUCGCAUGGCAGAGGUCGGGGGUUCGAGUCCCCCCGGCUCCA